AUCAUAUAAUUUCACAUUUUUCGCAGAAUUAUCUUGGGCAAUAUUAUUUUCAUCUGUUUUCUAUAAGUAACAGGACCCACCAAGAGACCAGGGUCCAUGAGGGCCUUGUGCAGGGAGGGCCUUGAAAUCAGGGCCCCCAGCAGCUGCCCACGCUGGAGCCUCUCUUGUGUUCUGGGUGCACGCCAUAUGUGGUGCUGACAGGACACACAGGCGGCCCAGAGCCUCUUACUACAUCAAGACAGCGGGAGAUGCAUGCAGUGCAAGUGCACAGAAAGUGGGUACUGGGUGGAAAGCGUUGCUUUAUAAAUAGUCAGAUCUCAAUCAUGACUAAGAAAAAAUGUAGAAAAAUGAUAAAUUGCCCAGCCUCAAAACCUUGGUGCGUCCUCAGGUUCCCCAUUUCAGCUGGCUGCCCGAGCUGCACUGUACAGCUCAUUACUAGAACAUCAUCCAGGCUGUCACAUGCAGAGCCCUUGGGACUCACAAGACGCUCAAAUACUUAACAUCCUCAGUCCUGAUUCUUCCAUAUAAACUUGCAGUAGUUUUGUGAAAAGAAAACAUGUGUCUGAAAUAUGAGACCAAAAUAAGCUUAAAUGAUGAGUGAUGGCAAAUUGGGGAGGCAGUCAGUUGACUCAUCAUGCAGUGGAGCAAACUUGCCUCUCUCGCUGCUGCAGGUGGGCACACUACGAGAAUUGCUCUUUUGUGUCACAUGGUCAUUGUGUUUUUUGCAUAACCGAGGACAGAAAGGGAGGAAAAAUCUGUUUUUGUGCACAUACUCCUUUGAAUUCUAUGUUGGCUUUUUUUGUUUGUCAAAGGUUGCAAAACUUCCUCAAGUUGUUCAACAGCAAACACCUGUGGCCAGCAUCCAGCAGUUGCCUCUGCUUCCCAGCAGGCUUCUCCACAGACUGUGGCACUCACACAGGCGACAGCGGCCGGGCAGCAGGUGCAGAUGAUCCCUGCAGUGACUGCGACUGCCCAGGUGGUCAGCAGAAACUGAUUCAGCAGCAAGUGGUGACCACGGCAUCGGCCCCGCUCCAGACUUCCAGGGCGCUCCCAACCCAGCCCAGGUGCCCGCCAGCUCCGACAGCCCAAGCCAGCAGCCCAAGUUAACAGAUGAGGGUCCCUGCUGUCAGGCUAAAGACACCUACUAAGCCUCCGUGCCAGUAGUCAGGACAGCAGGGCUGCCUCUCAUCUAAAAGCAAAACUACCUUCCUCACAGAAAUCGCUUUAUUAGUGAACCUUGGGACCAUGUCAUGCAAGAUAUUCAGCCACUUGGAAAGAUAUAAUUGAAACAAAGUAGUGUAAUCAUUUUAUUAAAAUGCAUCCCGCACUGCGAGGAACAAAAUGGUCCCUAUGGAGCGCCCCCUUCUCUGUACUACAUGGCUCAUGGAAAAAGUGACAACAUGGCUUCCUCUAAAUCAUUUCACCUUUCAGUCCCCACCCACACCUGUCCCCUAGAGCCAUAGUACUGUGUUCUGAAAGCCAUUUAGAAUUUCAUUGUGAGCAUGUAGUGCUUUGCGCGCCACAGAAGCCGUCUGCCGUGUGUGAGGAGCAUACAAUGGACUUUCUAAAGAUAAGACAUGGGCUUCCACAGUGUCUGCCAGAGUUUAGUUCUUUAUACCUUACUGAAAAAUGCCUCAUGGUCUUCGCAGAGGAAAAGCCCUGUCUAAAGUAAAUCAUCUGAGAUUGGUUUUCUAUUCCAAAGAAAGCCAAUAUGGUUCUUUCCUUCCCUCCUAAAAUGUGACUUAACUUUUAAGAGAAAUGUUCUGACACCCACCUAAACACACAAGGCACGUUCCUGGCCUGUGUUCAAGGGAAAUGAUCAGUCAUUGCAUUGUUAUUCCAAAGAGCAGCCAACAGGGGCCUCCCCCAGGCCCUACCCCACAAUGGGAUUGGCUUUCAUUUAAUGGAAACUUCUGGGACUGAUGCCCAACUCAGUGCACUCAAGACGCAUCUCCAGCUUUCGGGGGAAGCUGGUAUUUGACAUAGUGUGUUAAACAGCUCCUGAGAACCUUUGGGACACUGCCAUGGCUGGCGUGAGGCCCAGAGGACCACGCAGAGGCAAUGGUAGUACAGAUGUCACAGCUGAGGGUACGAUGAGGCCUGGGCUCAGUGAGCCAGGACGAAUAUGACAGACACCCCUUGCUGCCACAGCCAGCCCUUUGACAAAGGUGGGCUGGUGAUUCUGGAAGUAUUGGCUAUAGCAGUGGGCCCAGUCAGCUCUUCCCUGUGGACUUAUGACAGCAGAUUUUCUCUUGGAUAAGCUUGUGUGGUUCUGCUAGUGAAGCAGAGAACCACCUGUGCUGUUGUGGAAGGCAUGCCGUUGAGGGGGAAAGUGAAGCCCAGUAUUUGCUACUGUUUUUCCUUUUUUUACUAUGACAAGAAAAUAAAUGCAAUUUUAGUGGAA
rnacentral:sRNA from 1 species